rnacentral:rRNA from 1 species
ACAAGCAGCGGAGCGUGUGGUUUAAUUCGAUGCUACACGAAGAACCUUACCAGGUUUGACAUGCAAGUGUAGGAAACUGAAAAGGACGACCCUUCGGGGAGCUUGCACAGGUGGCUGCAUGGCUGUCGUCAGCUCGUGUCGUGAGAUGUUCGGUUAAGUCCGCUAACGAGCGCAACCCUCACUGUGUGUUAUAUGUGUCACACGGGACUGCCGGUUUUAAGCCGGAGGAGGGUGGGGAUGACGUCAAGUCAGCAUGGCCUUUAUAUCCUGGGCUACACACACGCUACAAUGGUCGGUACAAUAGGUUGCCAAGCCGCGAGGCGGAGCCAAUCCAAAAAAAGCCGGCCUCAGUUCAGAUUGUAGGCUGCAACUCGCCUGCAUGAAGAUGGAGUUGCUAGUAACCGCAGGUCAGCAAUACUGCCGGUGAAUACGUUCCCGGGUCUU